rnacentral:rRNA from 1 species
AUGCUGGGACAACAGAGACGACCUUAUGGAGUGAGCCGGGUGCGGCGGCGGUGCUCCCUCUCCGACGACGGCGGCUGCUUUGCUCUGCUCUGCUUCUUCCUCGAAACUCAUAACUUUUCUUUGUUUUUCCCUUGUAGAGUGAGCCAGCGGCGGCACACUCCGAUGAUGGCUGCUAUGCUUUAUCUGCUGCGGCUUCAAAACUGGUAUAUAUGUAUUAUUUUGCAAAAAAAUGCGUUGGAUGAUCUGCUUGCUGCCUGGCUACAUUUACCAAGCUGGACCAUACUAAUCAGGCUCGAGGUCAGUAGAAAACACGGCCCAUUCUACGGUGUACAAACUAUGCUACUAGCUUCAUCAUUUUGCUAUUCGAACAAGGUCUUCGAAAACGACUCAGACUCAAAUUUCCAAUACAUCCCAUUCCCGCUAGACCAUGAUAUGAUAUGUGACCGUCUGUGCCUGUACGCUGCUCUUAAUUGUUCCUCACCAUCCACACUCUACUAUUCUCACUUAGAAACUAAAUGUGAUCUUACUGCAUUAGGAAUAAACUAG